AGUGAACGCUGGCGGUAGGCCUAACACAUGCAAGUCGAACGGCAGCACAGGAGAGCUUGCUCUCUGGGUGGCGAGUGGCGGACGGGUGAGGAAUACAUCGGAAUCUACUCUGUCGUGGGGGAUAACGUAGGGAAACUUACGCUAAUACCGCAUACGACCUACGGGUGAAAGCAGGGGAUCUUCGGACCUUGCGCGAUUGAAUGAGCCGAUGUCGGAUUAGCUAGUUGGCGGGGUAAAGGCCCACCAAGGCGACGAUCCGUAGCUGGUCUGAGAGGAUGAUCAGCCACACUGGAACUGAGACACGGUCCAGACUCCUACGGGAGGCAGCAGUGGGGAAUAUUGGACAAUGGGCGCAAGCCUGAUCCAGCCAUACCGCGUGGGUGAAGAAGGCCUUCGGGUUGUAAAGCCCUUUUGUUGGGAAAAAAAUCCAGCUGGCUAAUACCCGGUUGGGAUGACGGUACCCAAAGAAUAAGCUCCGGCUAACUCCGUGCCAGCAGCCGCCGUAA
rnacentral:rRNA from 1 species